rnacentral:rRNA from 1 species
GUGCAGCAGUCGCGAAAACUCCGCAAUACACGAAAGUGUGACGGGGUCAUCCCGAGUGCCGUCCGCUGAGGAUGGCUUUUACCUAGUGUAGAUAGCUAGGGGAAUAAGGAGAGGGCAAGUCUGGUGUCAGCCGCCGCGGUAAUACCAGCUCUCCGAGUGGUAGGGAUGCUUAUUGGGCCUGAAGCAUCCGUAGCCGGCUGGGCAAGUCCCCUGUUAAACCCAACGAUUUAAUCGCUGGUCUGCGGGGGAUACUGUCCGGCUAGGAGACGGGAGAGGCCGACGGUAUUCUCGGGGUAGGGGUGAAAUCCUAUAAUCCCGGGAAGACCACCAGUGGCGAAGGCUGUCGGCUAGAACGCGCUCGACGGUGAGGGAUGAAAGCUGGGGGAGCGAACCGGAUUAGAUACCCGGGUAGUCC